rnacentral:rRNA from 1 species
GACAGAGGAUGCAAGCGUUAUCCGGAAUGCUUGGGCGUAAAGCGUCUGUAGGUGGCUUUUCAAGUCCGCCGUCAAAUCCCAGGGCUCAACCCUGGACAGGCGGUGGAAACUACCAAGCUGGAGUACGGUAGGGGCAGAGGGAAUUUCCGGUGGAGCGGUGAAAUGCAUUGAGAUCGGAAAGAAUACCAACGGCGAAAGCACUCUGCUAGGCCGACACUGACACUGAGAGACGAAAGCUAGGGGAUCAAAU